CGACCGGCGCACGGGUGAGUAACGCGUAUGCAACUUACCUAUCAGAGGGGGAUAGCCCGGCGAAAGUCGGAUUAAUACCCCAUGAAACAGGGGUCCCGCAUGGGAAUAUUUGCUAAAGAUUCAUCGCUGAUAGAUAGGCAUGCGUUCCAUUAGGCAGUUGGCGGGGUAACGGCCCACCAAACCGACGAUGGAUAGGGGUUCUGAGAGGAAGGUCCCCCACAUUGGUACUGAGACACGGACCAA
rnacentral:rRNA from 1 species